rnacentral:rRNA from 1 species
CUUGGUCAUUUAGAGGAAGUAAAAGUCGUAACAAGGUUUCCGUAGGUGAACCUGCGGAAGGAUCAUUAUCGUAUAAUCGAGGCACUGGGGCUGUCGCUGACCUUUGAAAAGGUCGUGCACGCUCCCGUGCACUCACACAAUCCAUCUCACACCUUUUGUGCAUCACCGCGCGGGCCCUCUUCCAAAGGGGGCUCACGUUUUUACACACAUACACAAUGCAUGUAUCGAACGUCGUAUACUUAUUUUGCGAUCACACGCAAUUAAUACAACUUUCAACAACGGAUCUCUUGGCUCUCGCAUCGAUGAAGAACGCAGCGAAAUGCGAUACGUAAUGUGAAUUGCAGAAUUCAGUGAAUCAUCGAAUCUUUGAACGCACCUUGCGCCCCUUGGCAUUCCGAGGGGCACACCCGUUUGAGUGUCGUGACAUCCUCAACCUUUCUUGUUCGUUUCGACCAAGAAAGGCUUGGACUUUGGAGGUUUUCUUUUUUUUGCCGGCCUCCUUUCGAAGCCGGCUCCUCCUAAAUGAAUUAGCAGGGUCUGCUUUGCCGAUCCUUGACGUGAUAAGAUGUUUCUACGUCUCGGAUUUCGCACUGUUACCUUUGGAUCCUGCUUCUAAUCGUCUUGUGAAAGACAAAGCUCAUAAUAAUAAACCUUGACCUCAAAUCGGGUGAGACUACCCGCCGAACUUAAGCAUAUCAAUAAGCGGAGGA